CCCCUACAUUAGAUAUAAACCCAGCGCUGUCUCAGCCUGUCCUGAUAACGUGCAGUCAGAUCCCCUACAUUAGAUAUAAACCCAGCGCUGUCUGAGCCUGUCCUGAUAACGUGCAGUCAGAUCCCCUACAUUAGAUAUAAACCAUGCGCUGUGUGAGCCUGUCCUGAUAACGUGCAGUCAGAUCCCCUACAUUAGAUAUAAACCCAGCGCUGUCUGAGCCUGUCCUGAUAACGUGCAGUCAGAUCCCCUACAUUAGAUAUAAACCCAGC